GAUGAACGCUGGCGGCGUGCCUAAUACAUGCAAGUCGAGCGAACAGACGAGGAGCUUGCUCCUCUGACGUUAGCGGCGGACGGGUGAGUAACACGUGGAUUACCUACCUAUAAGACUGGGAUAACUUCGGGAAACCGGAGCUAAUACCGGAUAAUAUAUUGAACCGCAUGGUUCAAUAGUGAAAGACGGUUUUGCUGUCACUUAUAGAUGGAUCCGCGCCGCAUUAGCUAGUUGGUAAGGUAACGGCUUACCAAGGCAACGAUGCGUAGCCGACCUGAGAGGGUGAUCGGCCACACUGGAACUGAGACACGGUCCAGACUCCUACGGGAGGCAGCAGUAGGGAAUCUUCCGCAAUGGGCGAAAGCUUGACGGAGCAACGCCGCGUGAGUGAUGAAGGUCUUCGGAUCGUAAAACUCUGUUAUUAGGGAAGAACAAAUGUGUAAGUAACUAUGCACGUCUUGACGGUACCUAAUCAGAAAGCCACGGCUAACUACGUG
rnacentral:rRNA from 1 species